GAUGAACGCUGGCGGCGUGCUUAACACAUGCAAGUCGAGCGGUGAGGCCCCUUCAGGGGUACACGAGCGGCGAACGGGUGAGUAACACGUGAGGAACCUGCCCCCCUCUCUGGGAUAACUCCGGGAAACCGGAGCUAAUACCGGAUACUCCGGCGAGAUCGCAUGGUCCUGCCGGGAAAGCUCCGGCGGAGGGGGAUGGCCUCGCGGCCCAUUAGCUAGUUGGUGGGUUAACGGCCUACCAAGGCGACGAUGGGUAGCCGGCCUGAGAGGGCGGCCGGCCACACUGGGACUGAGACACGGCCCAGACUCCUACGGGAGCAGCAUG
rnacentral:rRNA from 1 species